rnacentral:rRNA from 1 species
UACGGGGGGGGCAAGCGUUGCUCGGAAUUACUGGGCGUAAAGGGCUCGUAGGUGGCCAACUAAGUCAGACGUGAAAUCCCCAGGCUUAACCUGGGAACUGCGUCUGAUACUGGAUGGCUUGAAUUCGGGAGAGGGAUGCAGAAUUCCAGGUGUAGCGGUGAAAUGCGUAGAUAUCGGGAGGAACACCUGUGGCGAAGGCGGCUCUCUGGUCCCAUACUGACGCUGAGGCGCGAAAGCUAGGGUAGCAAACAGG